rnacentral:lncRNA from 1 species
UAAAUUUUAUCGGAUGGCAAAAUCUACAGAUCAGAAUGCAGAUAAGAUCCGGAUGCGGAUAAUAUCUGCACGGAUUAUGAGCGAAUAUUACAUAUACUUGAUCCGCAAAAAUUAAAAUUUAACAAUUUAAAAAUAAGAUUAAAUAUUUACAAUUUUACAUUAUAUUGAAAAUUAAUGCAUUUAAUUAAAGUAAUUAAACUAAAAACCAUAAAUUCAUUCUUACUACUUGUUAAUUAAUUCAUCAAUUAAUCAGUCAAAUUUUUGUAAGUCGUCGUUGAGAUUCGGAGAAAUAAAGAGGAUUAAAACCGUUAAAUUCAAUCUUCAAAAUCAGCAGCAACAGCAAUAGCAUGCCAACGGUGGCUACUUGUCUCCGUUCAAAUUAGCCAAGUUGUUAGAUCCAGACGCAUCCUGGGAUAGGGAUCAAUCGGGAGAUGUGUUGCAUUGGAUUCGACAUGUGGUGGCUGUUGCUCUGAUUUUGUACGGCUUGUAAGACAGGAAAAAAAAAACCUAAUUAAAGAAUUGAAUUAAUUUGUAAGCCAAGGAAGAUUACAGAGAUGCAGCCAUGUGUAUUGUGUGGUGUGCUUAGCGAGCCAGAGAUGCAGCGGCGUGCCGGCGUUUGAUGACAGCAAGUGCGGUCAGUGAGGUGAGGCAGAGCAACUGGCGUUCAACGACAGCAAUGCGUGCCCAGCUCUGUGAGGCAACCGGCGUUCGAUGAUAACGACUGCAAGGCAGAUGGCAUUCGACGGUGAGGCAUUUGGGGUUGUUUUCGAUUUCAGCUGCAGCGGCUGCUUGUGAGCGGUGGGGAAGUCGUGAGUGCAUGCGAUUUUAGUUUUAGCUUUUAGGGUUGCUGGGACUAGUUUUUUUUUAGUUUAUAUAUUUUCCAACUGAAAAUUGAUUAAAUUAAUAAUUUAAUUAAAAAUCAGACGGAUCCGGAUAUCGGCUUUCUGGAUGCAAGCGCAUUCAGAUCCGGAUCCGGAUAUGUGCAUAUAGACUCUGGAUCCGAAUCUUUUGUAUCUUUGCGGAUGAUUCGGAUUUUUUUUUCAUCUCUAAUGACAACAAAGAUACGUAGGGUACAAAAUGUCCUUUUCAUUCAAAAGAUUUGAGCCAAUUAAUGAAUUUGUGUUUUUUUUCGAAUAUUUUCUAUUUUACGUCUUUC